rnacentral:rRNA from 1 species
GACGAACGCUGGCGGCGUGCCUAAUACAUGCAAGUAGAACGCUGAAGGAGGAGCUUGCUUCUCUGGAUGAGUUGCGAACGGGUGAGUAACGCGUAGGUAACCUGCCUGGUAGCGGGGGAUAACUAUUGGAAACGAUAGCUAAUACCGCAUAAUAGUAGAUGUUGCAUGACAUUUGCUUAAAAGGUGCAAUUGCAUCACUACCAGAUGGACCUGUGUUGUAUUAGCUAGUUGGUGGGGUAACGGCUCACCAAGGCGACGAUACAUAGCCGACCUGAGAGGGGGAUCGGCCACACUGGGACUGAGACACGGCCCAGACUCCUACGGGAGGCAGCAGUAGGGAAUCUUCGGCAAUAGACGGAAGUCUGACCGAGCAACGCCGCGUGAGUGAAGAAGGUUUUCGGAUCGUAAAGCUCUGUUGUAAGAGAAGAACGAGUGUGAGAGUGGAAAGUUCACACUGUGACGGUAUCUUACCAGAAAGGGACGGCUAACUACGUG